GGAGGAACACCAGUGGCGAAGGCGGCCUACUGGGCACCAACUGACGCUGAGGCUCGAAAGCAUGGGUAGCAAACAGGAUUAGAUACCCUGGUAGUCCAUGCCGUAAACGAUGAUUACUAGGUGUUGGAGGAUUGACCCCUUCAGUGCCGCAGUUAACACAAUAAGUAAUCCACCUGGGGAGUACGACCGCAAGGUUGAAACUCAAAGGAAUUGGCGGGGGCCCGCACAAGCAGUGGAGUAUGUGGUUUAAUUCGAAGCAACGCGAAGAACCUUACCAGGUCUUGACAUCGGAUGCAUAGUGCAGAGAUGCAUGAAGCCCUUCGGGGCAUCCAGACAGGUGGUGCAUGGUUGUCGUCAGCUCGUGUCGUGAGAUGUUGGGUUAAGUCCCGCAACGAGCGCAACCCUUACGGUCAGUUACUACGCAAGAGGACUCUGGCCGGACUGCCGUUGACAAAACGGAGGAAGGUGGGGAUGACGUCAAAUCAUCAUGCCCUUUAUGACCUGGGCUACACACGUACUACAAUGGCGUUUAACAAAGAGAAGCGAAGCCGCGAGGCGGAGCAAAACUCAAAAACAACGUCCCAGUUCAGACUGCAGGCUGCAACUCGCCUGCACGAAGUCGGAAUUGCUAGUAAUCGCGGAUCAGCAUGCCGCGGUGAAUACGUUCCCGGGCCUUGUACACACCGCCCGUCACACCAUGAGAGCCGGGGGGACCCGAAGUCCGUAGUCUAACCGCAAGGGGGACGCGGCCGAAGGUAAAACUGGUGAUUGGGGUGAAGUCGUAACAAGGUAACCA
rnacentral:rRNA from 1 species